CCCUUAGAUGUCCUGGGCUGCACGCGCGCUACACUGAUGUGUCCAGUAAGCACCUAACCUCUUCCGAAGGGAACGGGUAACCUUAGCAAAGCACAUCGUGGUGGGGAUAGAUUAUUGCAAUUAUUAGUCUUGAACGAGGAAUUCCUAGUAAGCACAAGUCAUCAGCUUGUGUUGAUUACGUCCCUGCCCUUUGUACACACCGCCCGUCGCUCCUACCGAUUGAAUGUUCCGGUGAAUACUUCGGACUGCGAGGUCUGCAGUUUCUGCGUUCCUUGCGGAAAGUUGAAUAAACCUUAACAUUUAGAGGAAGGAGAAGUCGUAACA
rnacentral:rRNA from 1 species